rnacentral:rRNA from 1 species
AUGCUGCUGAGGAGCUCCUCCACGCCAUUCCUGCGCUCCUUCCUCACCUCCUCCUCCUCCCCUACGCCCCCUUCCUCCCUCCAGCUCCGGCGGGCCUUCUCCGACGGCCACCUCCCUUCGCUCAACCCCUCCUCCUCCGGCGACAACGACAGCAACAGAACCACCGGCCUCCACACCGAGCUCUCCUUCUCUGUCUACAACACCUUCAGCAAGGCCAAGCUGGAGCCCCACCAGGAGCAGGAGAUGGAGGAGGAGCAGGAGCAGGCGCCGCAGCCUGAGCUGCCGGAGCUGCCGCUGUUCCUGGCGAGGGGCAUGGGGAUCGACCGCCUCGCCUCCGGCCUCUUCACCGCCGGCAUGGGCUCCGAGGCUGCCCUGGCCAGGAUGGCCAGCGGGGUGGACCAGAAGGCGGUGCUGGCGCUGGACGCCCAGUACAAGGAGAUGGUGGACGAGCAGCCCGGCAACGCCCUGUUCCUACGCAACUACGCGCAGUUCCUGCACGAGGUGAAGUGUGACUCGAGAAGGGCGGAGGAGUACUACUCGCGCGCGAUGCUCGCCGACCCAACCGACGGCGAGAUCAUGUCGCAGUACGCGAAGCUGGUGUGGGCGGUGCACCGCGACCACGAAAGGUCCCUCACCUACUUCCAGAAGUCGGUGCAGGCGGCCCCGCGGGACAGCCACGUCCUCGCGGCGUACGCCAGCUUCCUGUGGGAGCAGGACGAGGACGAGGACGACGACGGUGGUCUUGGGGGAGGCGAGCAGGGAUCACCCGGGCGUGCUACGCAGCCGAGGCAGCUGGCUUCCACGGCCGUUUGA